GUGCCAGCCGCCGCGGUAAUACGGAGGAUUCGAGCGUUAUCCGGAUUUAUUGGGUUUAAAGGGUGCGUAGGCGGAUUUGUAAGUCAGUGGUGAAAGUUUCCGGCUUAACCGGGAGAAUGCCGUUGAGACUGCAGGUCUUGAGUGCAAGCGAGGUAAGUGGAAUGUGUUGUGUAGCGGUGAAAUGCAUAGAUAUAACACAGAACACCGAUUGCGAAGGCAGCUUACUAGUAUGUAACUGACGCUGAGGCACGAAAGCGUGGGGAGCAAACAGGAUUAGAUACCCUGGUAGUCCACGCAGUAAACGAUGAAUACUAGCUGUAUGCGAUAGACAGUAUGCGGCGCAGCGAAAGCAUUAAGUAUUCCACCUGGGGAGUACGUCGGCAACGAUGAAACUCAAAGAAAUUGACGG
rnacentral:rRNA from 1 species